rnacentral:rRNA from 1 species
AUGGUUGUCAAGGAGUUCACCGUUGAUCUCAACAAGCCUCUCGUUUUACAGGUUGGCCAUCUCGAGGAACAUUACCAGGAGUGGGUUCACCAGCCCGUCGUGAGCAAAGAAGGUCCACGCUUUUUCGCAAAUGAUACCAUGGAGUUCUUGACACGCACAAAAUGGUGGGCUGUGCCGGUCAUAUGGCUACCUGUCGUCUGCUGGCUGUUCGCCAAGUCGGUUCGGAUGGGCCACACCAUUCAGGAAGUAAUCCUGAUGGCCCUAUUUGGAGUGUUUGUGUGGACGUUGAUCGAGUACAGCUUACACCGCUUCCUCUUCCACAUCGAGACGAGAAGCUAUUGGUCGAACACCGCACAUUACCUUAUCCAUGGAUGCCACCAUAAGCAUCCCAUGGACUCGCUCAGGCUCGUGUUCCCUCCUGCCGGGGCAGCGAUCAUAUGCGUGCCGUUCUGGAAUGUUGUGGCAUUCUUCGCGAGCCCAUCCACGACUCCUGCGCUCUUCGCCGGUGGCCUGCUCGGGUACGUGAUGUAUGACUGCACCCACUACUACCUGCACCAUGGACAGCCGUCCAGAGAUCCAGCGAAGCAUCUCAAGCGGUACCACCUCGGCCACCAUUUCAGAAUCCAGGACAAGGGCUUCGGCAUCACCUCGUCGCUCUGGGACGCCGUUUUCGGGACGCUGCCUUCGUCCAAGAUCGCCGCGAAGCUCAGCUGA